UACAGAGGUCUCAAGCGUUGUUCGGAUUCAUUGGGCGUAAAGGGUGCGUAGGUGGCGGGGUAAGUCAGGUGUGAAAUCUCGAGGCUCAACCUCGAAACUGCACUUGAUACUGCCUUGCUCGAGUACUGGAGAGGAGAGUGGAAUUUACGGUGUAGCAGUGAAAUGCGUAGAUAUCGUAAGGAAGACCAGUGGCGAAGGCGAAUCUCUGGACAGUUACUGACACUGAGGCACGAAGGCCAGGGGAGCAAACGGG
rnacentral:rRNA from 1 species